CAAAAUCCAUUUUUGCUGGAAGAAACCCCCUUCUCGUAGUGCCUGGGCUGAGCUGAUGUUUCUAUGAUGUUUCUGGUACGCUCCAUUGACAAGAUCUCACACUCAGCGUCUCCAAUAGCAUCAAUGCUGGGCUCCUUCAGCACAACAGCUCCACCUUCAUUAAACAGGCACUGAUGUCACGGGAAGUUCUCACCAGCUCCUUACCUUGGAGGGACUCAUGGGCCCUGCGAAAGCUCGUAUAGACAGCACCGGAUCCUUGGGGCUGCCCGUGUAUUUGGACAGAGCUGCCUGCGGGCUCUCGUCUGUCUGAUCCGGUGACCACGGCGCACCGAUGACAGGAGCUGAGGAGUUAUCUUCUGCUCUCAGAAGUGGCACAUAGUAGCGACCUUGAUAAAACAAUACCAAGCCUUCUUUAACUGAUGUCACAUUAGCUUGCUCUUUUCCUAUGCUAUCAAUACACCUGUACAUUUAACCAUCUGACUGUAUUUCAUCAGUAAAACUAUAUGAUUCAAAUUCA